GGAGUUUGAGCCUGGAUCUUGAUGAACGCUUGCGGCAGGCCUAAUACAUGCAGGUCGGAUCGGAUAUGGUAGCUUGCUAUCAUUGAGAGUGGCGCACGGGUGCGUAACACGUAUGUAACCUACCUUUAUCAGGGGGAUAGCCUCUCGAAAGAGAGAUUAAGCCCGCAUAAUAUUACAUCAUAGCAUUGUGGAGUAAUCAAAUAUUUAUAGGAUAGAGAUGGGCAUGCGGAACAUUAGCUAGUUGGUAAGGUAACGGCUUACCAAGGCUACGAUGUUUAGGGGAUCUGAGAGGAUGACCCCCCACACUGGUACUGAGACACGGACCAGACUCCUACGGGAGGCAGCACUAAGGAAUAUUGGUCAAUGGGCGGAAGCCUGAACCAGCCAUGCCGCGUGCAGGAAGACGGCCCUACUGGUUGUAAACUGCUUUUGCAGGGGAAUAAACCCCACUACGUGUAGUGGGUUGAAUGUACUCUGAGAAUAAGGAUCGGCUAACUCCGUGCCAGCAGCCGCGGUAGUACGGAGGAUCCGAGCGUUAUCCGGAUUUAUUGGGUUUAAAGGGUGCGUAGGCGGCCUUGUAAGUCAGGGGUGAAAGACGGUAGCUUAACUAUCGCAGUGCCUUUGAUACUGCAGGGCUUGAAUGUACUUGAGGUAGGCGGAAUGUGACAAGUAGCGGUGAAAUGCAUAGAUAUGUCACAGAACACCAAUUGCGAAGGCAGCUUACUAAAGUAUGAUUGACGCUGAGGCACGAAAGCGUGCGGAUCAAACAGGAUUAGAUACCCUGGUAGUCCACGCCCUAAACGAUGAAUACUCGAUGUUGGCGAUUUA
rnacentral:rRNA from 1 species